GGAAUCUGACAGACAUGUUCAUCUUCUUGAUUGUGUAUGGCAUUGGAUUGAAUCACGGACCAAAAUAAAAUGUUAGGCUUACACAUGCACUCUGUUUCCAGGAAGAAUUGUUCAAGGGAAAGAAGGCAAUCUAUAAAGAAGAAAAUAAAGAGCUGAUGGCGGAAAACAGCAAGAGGAUGAAGAGGAGAUAAAGGAUGAAGGAUGGAGAGGGAGGAGGAGGAGGAAGCGAGCUUUCGAAUGUUUGGAAUGGAUGUUGACUGACUAGCAGAGCUUUGGGCUGCAUGAAUUUCUCGUAGUUGCAUCCCCAAGAUCGGCCAAAGGAGUUCUGUGGCAUGGCAAGGUGUGGCGAAGGCAAGCACAGGCUCCCACCCUUCCCCCACCCUCAGGAGGCUCCUCCCUAGCCACACAGCAGUUGUCCAGAGCCUACACCUCUGCUGCCAUCGCUGUGCCGAGCAUCAGUUUGGUUCUCAUCAUACCAUUAGUUCCAGGCGCAUCUGCUCCAGGAUUUCUCCCUGCCCCUGUGGCGCAUCCAUCUCCAUCUUGUUCACGUUUUAUUACCCUCGCCUAAAUGUUAGCGAGCCUUAUCAAGUCCUGCAAGCAUCGGGGCACUGUGCCAGGAGGCCGGCAGGCCUUCGACCCCGCUCCCUGUGGUUUGAGGCUCCACUUAGAGCUUUAAUUUCCAGUCCCUGUAAUUCAGGACCACAAAGGGCCAUGCUGAAAUAACUCCCUUACUUCCCAAAGGCAGCUGGCCAGUAGCCACUCAGUUACUGAGUUGAGUGCAGGACCCCUGCCUCUCUUGGGAGCCAAACAAAGCCUCUGACUUUCUCUCUGCCUCUUUUGCACACUCCAGAGCCUGUGACAGGGAAUGCUGUUUCCAUUGGCCAGGGGCCCUGGCAGGGCUCCCCAAGGCAAUUUUCCAGCCCUAUAUUCGGUGGAGAACCUGAAAGGCUGCUGUUGCCAAUUGAGCCCUGCCGGACUGGGGGAGGGUGGCUCCAAAUCUUCCAGCCAUUGGCUCUCAAACCUCUGGAGUGCAAGGAUCCUUUGAAAGGGAGAAGAAAGAAGACACAAUUAAGAACAGAAUUCAAAACAACAGAAAUCUCAUUCGGUGCAAAUCGCCUCUACUUGCAGAUAAGUACUCUGAAAGAGCUGUCUGUAAAGCAAGUCCCAUUCUGAGCAGGCCUGAAGCCAGGCACAGUUUGGCUAUAGAUCUAGGAAAGUUUAGAAUUUCCCUGCAAUAAGCCAGCAUGCGCUCCCUGCUCAGUACAUCUAACAAACACACCUCCUCCUGGUGCUGACCAUAUCUCACCUAAAAGGUGGUGUCUGGCACCUUUUUCAACCCUGACAAUGGUCUCCUGAGCCUGGCAGGGCUCCUCCAGGUUCUCAGGUGAAUAGGGCUUCAGUCCCAACUCUAAAGUUGACCCACAGGCAUUGAUUGCUGGGGGCAGGUUAGAAAGGGACCAACUGCAGCUCCCACCCUGAGAUUUCUGAGUUAUAACUCCCAGGAAUCGUUUCCAUUUUGCAAAGACAUUUAUGGAAGGGGGUCAGGUAUGCUAAAAAACACAUGGGAAUCUCUGUAACAAAUUACAAUCAGCCCGAGUGCGGUGAUUCUGCAUCUGUGGCUUUAACUAUGGACAGCUGUCUGAAAAUAUCCAGAAAAAUAUAAUGGAUCAAGCAUAUGCAAGCUUUUUAUUUCUUGGCAUCAUUCCCUGAACAAUACAGUAGAACAACUAUCUGCACAGAGUUUACAUUAGGUCUUUUAAGUAAUGGAGCCAUGAUUAAAGCAUACAGGAUUGUGUGCACAGGCUGUACGCAAAUAUUGUACCAUGUUAGAGUCGGUACUAGAGCAUGGGUAGAGUUUUGGUAGCAGCUCUAAGCUCUGACCUGCUGAUAGUUGCUGUUUCCCACACUUCUAUUUUCUUUACCUUCGAGUUUCUUGUCAUGGAAAAUUUUUCUUUUUUUUAAAAAAAGUAUCUGAUCAAAUAAAUAUAUUACUUUCACCAUAUUUACUGUGGAUUUUUCAUCAUAAGAUUCUUAUGUUAUAGAGUAGAGAUGAAUUUCAAAGGAAGGGAGAGAGAGAG
rnacentral:lncRNA from 1 species